ACUUCAUCAGUGAAUAUUACUUGAUUUAUAUUUGGCGAGUCCAGUGGCCGAGUCCGAGACAAGUCUGAGUCCAAAUACCAACGAGUCCAAGACAAGUCAGAGA